rnacentral:rRNA from 1 species
GCGGAAGGAUCAUUGUCGAAGCCUCUCAGAUAAAACCCUCGUGAACAUGUAAAAUCUCUUAGUCGUCAUAGGGACAGGUGUGUGUUUGUGACCUAUGCCUUCUACUUAAUCUGUCUUUGUGAUUUGCCGCUUAUGAGCAUUCUUGUGGUCGGGUUGACGCAACCCUAACCCCGGCACGGUACGUGCCAAGGAUAAGUUAACUGUAGGAAUGCCUGAUUCCUUGUAACCCCAAUUGCGGCCCCUACAUGGGAUUUGGAUUCUUUAUGACCAUUCCCACUCUCGGAUACGGAUAUCCCGGCUCACGCAUCGAUGAAGAACGUAUGAAAAUGCGAUACUUAAUGUGAAUUGCCAAUCCCCAGAACCAUUUUGUUUUUGAACGCAAGUUGCGCCUGAUGGUUUCGGUUGAGGGCACCUCUGCCUGGGCGUCACGUAUUGCUUUGUUUCUAAACCAUGCCUCCUUAAAGGGAUGUGUGGGUUAGGGGCGGAUACUGGCCUCCCGUGCCUGUGGCGUGGUUGGUUGAAAUUACCCUUCUCCUUUUGAUGAACACACGACAAGUGGUGGUUGACUCGACCUUAGUCUCGUGUUUGUGUCCAUUGAUUUCUACGAAGACCUUAACAUUUUACCCUAACGUGCCAUGUUGCGUACGCGCUUCCAUCGCGACCCCGAGUCCCGUGGGAUUACCCGCUGAGUUUAAGCAUAACGAUAAGCGGGAGGAA